rnacentral:rRNA from 1 species
CCUACGGGAGGCAGCAGUGGGGAAUAUUGGGCAAUGGAGGAAACUCUGACCCAGCGACGCCGCGUGCGGGAUGAAGGCCUUCGGGUUGUAAACCGCUUUCAGUAGGGAAGAAGCGAAAGUGACGGUACCUACAGAAGAAGCACCGGCUAACUAUGUGCCAGCAGCCGCGGUAAUACAUAGGGUGCAAGCGUUGUCCGGAAUUAUUGGGCGUAAAGAGCUCGUAGGUGGUUCGUCACGUCGGAUGUGAAAAUCUGGGGCUCAACCCCAGACCUGCAUUCGAUACGGGCGAUCUAGAGUGUGGUAGGGGAGACUGGAAUUCCUGGUGUAGCGGUGGAAUGCGCAGAUAUCAGGAGGAACACCAAUGGCGAAGGCAGGUCUCUGGGCCAUUACUGACACUGAGGAGCGAAAGCGUGGGGAGCGAACAGGAUUAGAUACCCUGGUAGUCCACGCCGUAAACGGUGGGCACUAGUUGUGGGAACCUUCCACGGGUUUCUGCGACGCAGCUACGCAUAGUAGCCCGCCGUCGGGAGGUACGAGCGCGAGAUAAACUACGAAAGGUAAAGUUAGUUAGGCGUGAGACGUGCCGACGGACGACGACGAGGGAGGAGG